AUUGAACGCUGGCGGCAGGCCUAACACAUGCAAGUCGAGCGGAUGAAGGGAGCUUGCUCCUGGAUUCAGCGGCGGACGGGUGAGUAAUGCCUAGGAAUCUGCCUGGUAGUGGGGGAUAACGUCCGGAAACGGGCGCUAAUACCGCAUACGUCCUGAGGGAGAAAGUGGGGGAUCUUCGGACCUCACGCUAUCAGAUGAGCCUAGGUCGGAUUAGCUAGUUGGUGGGGUAAAGGCCUACCAAGGCGACGAUCCGUAACUGGUCUGAGAGGAUGAUCAGUCGCACUGGAACUGAGGCACGGUCCAGACUCCUGCGGGAGGCAGCAGUGGGGAAUAUUGGACGAUGGGCGAAAGCCUGAUCCAGCCAUGCCGCGUGUGUGAAGAAGGUCUUCGGCUUGUAAAGCACUUUAAGUUGUGGGGAAGGGCAGUAAGUUAAUACCUUGCUGUUUUGACGUUACCAACAGAAUAAGCACCGGCUAACUUCGUG
rnacentral:rRNA from 1 species